CAGCAGCCGCGGUAAUACAGAGGGUGCAAACGUUGUUCGGAAUUACUGGGCGUAAAGCGAGUGUAGGCGGUUUGGUAAGUCGGAUGUGAAAUCCCCGGGCUCAACCUGGGAAUGGCAUUCGAUACUGGCCGACUAGAGUACGAGAGAGGGAGGUAGAAUUCCACGUGUAGCGGUGAAAUGCGUAGAUAUGUGGAGGAAUACCGGUGGCGAAGGCGGCCUCCUGGCUCGAUACUGACGCUCAGGUGCGAAAGCGUGGGUAGCAAACAGGAUUAGAUACCCUGGUAGUCCACGCCGUAAACGAUGUCUACUAGCCGUUGGGAGACUUGAUUUCUUAGUGGCGCAGCUAACGCUCUAAGUAGACCGCCUGGGGUGUACGGCCGCUUGGUUAAAACUUAAAGGAAUUGACGG
rnacentral:rRNA from 1 species